rnacentral:rRNA from 1 species
UACGGGGGGGGCAAGCGUUGUUCGGAAUUACUGGGCGUAAAGGGCUCGUAGGUGGCCAACUAAGUCAGACGUGAAAUCCCUCGGCUUAACCGGGGAACUGCGUCUGAUACUGCCCGGCUAGAGGUAGGUAGGGGAGAUCGGAAUUCCUGGUGUAGCGGUGAAAUGCGCAGAUAUCAGGAGGAACACCGGUGGCGAAGGCGGAUCUCUGGGCCUUACCUGACGCUCAGGCGCGAAAGCUAGGGGAGCGAACUGG